ensembl:miRNA
UCAGUGUAUUUGGAGGGUAAGGUUAAGCAAGGUGCGUCGUAUCUUGCUUAACCUUGCCCUCCAAAUACACUGA